ACUACCUAAUAGAACAAAUUCAUUUCUUGAAAUUAAAAACAAGAAGACAUUGGCACGCCUUCCUCUCUCUUAUUUCCUCUGUUAGCAUUCUUUUUCCUCUCUCUUAUUUCCUCUGUUUUGUCAACAAACAACAGUCACAACGUAAACUUUUUUUUGCUCUCUUUUUCUCUGUUAACAGUCACAACUCCCAAGUUCAUAUAACAGUCCUUGCAUUUACGUUGCCAGCGUAGAGAUUUGGAUGAUGAAAAACAAAAGCUUAGAAUUUUUUUGGAAGGAAGGUGGAGGAAAAUCACAAAAGACUUCAAUUUCAUCUUCUCCAAAAUCGAAGGAACCUCUAAUUGAAGAAAAUAACCGUGAGGAAACUAACCAUGACGUCCCUCCAAUCCAAGAGGAAAGCGAGGAUGAAUUUACGCCUCAAAGUAGUUUUAGAACUAAUACUUCAAGUGUCGUAUAUGAUGUUGAUCUUCUACCACAUGAUCCGGGAACUAGGAGACCAAUUUCAUCAUAUCCUUCUAAUGAUCGAGAGGCUGUGAGAAGAGGAUACAUUGCUAAAAAGCCUUGUCAACCACGUACACAUGAUUUUCCUCAAAGGGAAUUAGGAGGUAUGCGUCGCUUUAGUGUUUCUUGGUUUGACAAGUACGAUUGGCUUGAAUAUAGUAUUGAGAAAGAUGCGGCUUUUUGUUUUGUUUGUUACCUGUUCAAAGAUAAAACUAGUUGUGUGGGGGGUGAUAGUUUUGUUAAUGGAGGAUUUAGGAGUUGGAAUAAACCCGAAAGAUUUGAGAAACAUAUUGGGAGUGUUGGUAGCGGCCAUAACCAAGCUCAAGAGAAAUAUAAUUUUUUCAUAAACUCGAAAACAUCAAUCACUCGAUUUUUUCAAUGAGGUGAAAUGGAGUUGUGGACUUCUUUUAAUCUUCUCAGUUCUUUGAGAAAAAGUUGGUUAGACUUGCUGAAUUUUAUAAAAAGAAGUUCUUAACCAAUAAUUUGGUUACUCUUUGUUUUGCACUUGAACUUUCUAUCGAUGACAUGUGAAAUGAGGAAAUGUUCCACGAAGAGAAAGAUCUUAGUGAGCUUUUGGUGAGUUUUCUGCUUGUUGCGGCUGAGAAUAUUACAUAUGAACUAGUCUACUUGCUUUUAAGACUAAAUAUUGAUUCUUUUUGUGGCAACCGUAAGUAUGGAAAGAGUAUUUCCUCGAUGACUAUUGUGAAGAACAAGUUGUGAAAUAGUGUAGGUGAUUAACUUUUGAAUGAUUGUUUAGUCACUUCAAUUCAGAGGAAUUUUUUUUUUUUUUGCAAGUUAAUGAUGAUGUAAUAAAUCGCUUAUAAUUUAUGAAAGGUCAUCAGUUGAACUUGUAAUUUUUUAAUUACUUGGAACUUAUGUAUAUCCGUUGCUUUGAAUGGUUGAUUGGCUAUUGCCAUUGUAUUUUGAGUCGUAAUUGAAUCUAGCAUAGAACUUUGUUU